GAAAGGGAAGCAGAAAUACCUCGGAAUCCUAGACCAAGCAGAUCUGUCCUAUUUGGAAUUUCGAAUUGAAUUUUGUGGCCAAAACGGACCUUAAUCGAGUGUUCUCGACUAAGUAUACUCGACUAAAGUCAGUUGAAACCUCAAUUUUCCAAUUUUGCAUACAAUCUUGAUAAUGGAUAUUUUUUUAAGGUUCGCCUCUGGUUUGAAAUUCGAGAGACUCCGACAAGAUUCGAGUACAACUGGCAUGGGAUUUGGGAUGAGGGCGGUCUAGUGGUUGACUUGUGUGAUUUUGGAGCGAUUGGGUGAGCUAGGAUUUCUGGCUCGAAUCUUCGAUUGAAGAUUCGAGAAGAUGGAUGAUGAUUCGAGGUUAAUGGGUAAGGGAUUCGUGUUGAUGGUGGUAUGGUGGUUAGUUGGUGUUAGUAUGGUAGCCGGCGACGUUGUUGCCGCCGGGUUUCAGGGGAGAGAAUUUGGUGGCAGCUCUAGGGUUUCAUGGGGGUGUUUGGU
rnacentral:lncRNA from 1 species